AAUCCAUGAUGUGGACACAUUCUAAUCAUGGUGUUGUAUCUCUGCCAGGCAUCAUACAGACUUUCUCCAUCAAAUUGGGCAAAUCUAGUUAUCUUGUCCCUAUAUU